GAGGCUCUGUGCCGGAGCGAACGCGAUAAGCAUCCCGCCUGGGGAACUACGGCCGCAAGGCUAAAACUCGAACGAAUUGACGGGGACCCGCACAAGCAGCGGAGCGUGUGGUUUAAUUCGAUGCUACACGAAGAACCUUACCUGGGUUUGACAUGCUGGUGGUACCGAACCGAAAGGGGAGGGACCCUUCGGGGAGCCAACACAGGUGCUGCAUGGCUGUCGUCAGCUCGUGCCGUGAGGUGUCGGGUUAAGUCCCGUAACGAGCGCAACCCUUGCUCUUAGUUAUACGUGUCUAAGGGGACUGCCGGCGACAAGCCGGAGGAAGGUGGGGAUGACGUCAAGUCAGCAUGGCCUUGAUAUCCAGGGCUACACACACGCUACAAUGGCCGGUACAAAGGGCAGCCAAGCCGCGAGGUGGAGCGAAUCCCAGCAAAGCCGGUCCCAGUUCGGAUUGCAGGCUGCAACCCGCCUGCAUGAAGUUGGAGUUGCUAGUAACCGCGCGUCAGCCAUAGUGCGGUGAAUACGUACCCGGGUCUUGUACACACCGCCCGUCACGUCAUGGGAGUUGGCAACGCCUGACAGCGGUAGCCUAACCGAAAGGAAGGCGCCGACUAAGGCGGGGCU
rnacentral:rRNA from 1 species